UAGUGGCGGACGGGUGAGUAACGCGUGGGUAACCUGCCUCAGUACAGGGGGAUAACAGUUGGAAACGACUGCUAAGACCGCAUAACCCGCUAGUGUCGCAUGACACGGACGGAAAAUAUUUAUAGGUAUGAGAUGGGCCCGCGUCUGAUUAGCUAGUUGGUAAGGUAACGGCUUACCAAGGCGACGAUCAGUAGCCGACUUGAGAGAGUGAUCGGCCACAUUGGGACUGAGACACGGCCCAAACUCCUACGGGAGGCAGCAGUGGGGAAUAUUGGACAAUGGGGGAAACCCUGAUCCAAGCGACGCCGCGUGAGUGAAGAAGUAUUUCGGUAUGUAAAGCUCUAUCAGCAGGGAAGAUAAUGACAGUACCUGACUAAGAAGCCCCGGCUAACUACGUGCCAGCAGCCGC
rnacentral:rRNA from 1 species